GUUAUGGAUUGUUGUAGGUUAAAAAGUUUUUCAAAUUAAAGUGACAAACUUGAGUAGGGACUAUUUUAUUUACUGAGUUGCCACUUGGAAUUGAGUUUUUGGGUGUUCUAAGUCACCUUUUAUUUGAAUCCCUAGUCAAGGAAGGUUUGACUCUGUUAUUAUUGGUCUGCGAAAAUAAAGUUCGGGCAAGAAAUUCUAUUGAUCGGGGAGAAGGUGUAAGGCAUUCCCCGAGUCCCGUGGUUCUAGCACGGUCGCUUUAUUAACUAUAUUUGACUUAUAUUAUUUUUUUUGAGCAAACUGUAUUUUAAUGGAUCUCCAUGUUUUACCUAUCCGCUUUUAAUUAUCGCUUUUUAUGGAUUUAUCUUUGAAACGAGUCACAUGUGCGUAACUCUAUUUUAUUUGGCGCGUUAAAAUCAUGUCAUGCGUACGUGUACACAAUUAAUCGCGCUUUAUUAAUUAUCAGGAUUGUUUGGCCAAAGUCGCGCGAACGCGUACUUUGAUUUAUUUUGGGGAGUCAUAGUCAUAUCAUGCAAACGUGUACACAAUUAUGACAGUCGAUUAAGUGCGCGCCUAAAGCAUUGCUCCUAGCGAAUGAUAUAACAAAACAAACAAAUAAAUAAAUAAAUAAAUAAAAGAACUAAAUAAAAGAAAAUUUCUAAAUCAUGCUAAAAUUCUUUUGACUUUUCAUUUUUCAUGUGUUUGGACCGAGCCCAAUUCCUAAAACAUGCCAAAAAUAUUUGAUUACUAAUGGGCUAAGUCUUUCCCAACUCCCACAAACCAACAAGCAAUUCACAUUCUACAUACAAAUGGCGAAAAUACAGGAUAAAUCUAGAUAAGCACACAUUCAAUCACUUAAAGAAUACAGGUGCUAAGAAAGGUAAAAGAUCAAAGUUAUCGGAAGAGCCCUUAAAGAUACUACCCCACCCGAUCAAUUUGUGCUUUCAAUUGCGUUCCAUCCUUGGAGCUAAAAUUAUGACCGAGUUAUUUACCUACUUUCUAACACACACUUUUUUUUUCCUAAAUUGCUCCUCCUCGCUCAAUUCAGCACUAACACGAACAGAGAAUUCAAGACCCUAUUCACAUGAAUAUUAUGUUAGUUCAUUCAUUCUAAAAGAAACACGUCUGCUAGAAUUCAACCGAAGAAAUAGUUCUUCAAAAUGCAUAUAACAUGGAAAUGACAGAAUUAAAAAAAAAAAGCUAACAAAAAUCUUCUUUGAUCAAUCACAAUGGAAAGAACACUCAAUAACUAAAGUGAAGUAGAAAUCGCAUGCUGGGAAUUUCAUUUGGGUACUCAACUCAUUCAAAUCAGUACAUUAUUUUAAUGCUGAAAGAGGAAAAAACAUGAAAUAUGACCUUAGCUCAAAUAGUGUUAAAUUCUUCCAAGUGCUUGAUUAAUUAAACCCAAACAAUAGUGCAUAAAUCUUAAAACAGUAAAAAUUCUACCAUAUUCAUCUCUUAAGAUCCAAGCUAAAACAAUAUUAAAAAUACAAAAGAAAUAAUAGCCAAAAUCCAAAAAUUACUAUCUAGGGAAUAAAGCCACUUCCAAGUUAAAAGUUAAUGCGCUGUCAGAAGAUUCACUAUGUGAGCAUUUCACUAAGCGAGAUUGAGCAACAAAUUAAGAAAACAUUACUCGAUUUUUUUUAUUUCGGAUGAACAAGUUUGUAGAUAUCAACUUUUUACUUAAACAACUUAUACUCUCGAGAUCUUACCCAUCGUUAACAGCUCUUCCAAAGCUUAUAUAAAGAUAAGAUUAAUAUAGAGAUGAUAGUCAUAGAGAUGAACCUGUUAGGACAAAAUUUCCUUAAUAGCAGUUGCAGAACCAAACGGAUACACUGUUUUCGACUCCAAAAUGCGGACGAGAAUCGACUAUUGAAUUCGGACAGAACCGCGAACCAGUAACAACACUCGAACGGCGCCGGAAAACUUGAAGAGAUCUUUUGUCCAGAAAAUUUCGAGAAAGCGUGGUUAUGGAAAAGGGGCAGAUGCGUUUUUUGGGGGUUGAAUUUCUGCUAGGUUUGAGCUGGGAUUUUUUUUUUGGGUCAUUUAUGGAGGAAGAAAAGUUGUGCUCUGUGCGUCGAAUCCAGAAGAAAAAAAAGCGCAACCACUCCCUCUCCUCCUUUUUUUUUCGUCUGUGUGUAGCUCAUCUUUAAGAAUGAGGGGACGCAGGUUUUUUAAGGUUGAGGGAUUUGGGCUUG
rnacentral:lncRNA from 1 species